AACCACAAGAUCAUGACCUGAGCCAAAACUGAGAGUCAGGCGCUUAACUUACGAAGCCACCCAGACGCCCCCAAGUUGAGGGUUUUCUAACAAAAAUAUUCUCAGUCUUUGUGGAUAACCAGAUCCAUUAGAGAAUCUGUAGUACUUAUAGUCUGUGUAAGAAUUCAAAAGCAUGGAAUGGAGACAUUUACAAGUAUGGUUGACCAUUACAGGUCCUGUGGUGUGAAAACCCACAUGAAACCAGAUGAACGUUAGGUAAAUAUUCUUUAUUAGAGGUUCAGCUGUAUAAACUAAAACUAGGAAUGAUGAAGAAGAAGAAAGGAAGAAGGAAUCCAUGUUCCUUAGUGGACACAGAAGUGAAGAGCAGCCAGCUAAAUUAACCUGGAUUAAUGAAUAUUAUACUGGAUGACUAUUGUGAAACACCAAGGAAAACACUCC